rnacentral:rRNA from 1 species
UUACUGGGCGUAAAGCGCACGCAGGCGGUUGGAUAAGUUAGAUGUGAAAGCCCCGGGCUCAACCUGGGAAUUGCAUUUAAAACUGUCCAGCUAGAGUCUUGUAGAGGGGGGUAGAAUUCCAGGUGUAGCGGUGAAAUGCGUAGAGAUCUGGAGGAAUACCGGUGGCGAAGGCGGCCCCCUGGACAAAGACUGACGCUCAGGUGCGAAAGCGUGGGGAGCAAACAGGAUUAGAUACCCUGGUAGUCCACGCCGUAAACGAUGUCGAUUUGGAGGCUGUGUCCUUGAGACGUGGCUUCCGGAGCUAACGCGUUAAAUCGACCGCCUGGGGAGUACGGCCGCAAGGUUAAAACUCAAAUGAAUUGACGGGGGCCCGCACAAGCGGUGGAGCAUGUGGUUUAAUUCGAUGCAACGCGAAGAACCUUACCUGGCCUUGACAUGUCUGGAAUCCUGCAGAGAUGCGGGAGUGCCUUCGGGAAUCAGAACACAGGUGCUGCAUGGCUGUCGUCAGCUCGUGUCGUGAGAU